GAGUCUUCCCCCUUGGGAGGUCAUCUCCCAGUGACCAAGUACACAGUCUGACUGAAGAAACAUAUAGCACCCUUCAGCUGUGACAACUGACGAUGAAGAAACCUCUGUCCACGGGUUCCAGAAGACGAAAAACUACGUCCAACUUCUGACUCUCCCCUCAAUCCACUCCACCACAGGACAGGACGAUUGUACCAUGAACAAGGUUAAGAUCAGGAAGGAAGAAAGAAUCAAAUGAUGCAGCAUAUCAAGAAUGAGCUUCCAUUAACUCAUUUAUCAAGAAUGAGCUUCCAUUAAUUCAUUAGUGAAAACUUCUAAAUGUGAGUAAAUAAUAAAUGCUUAG